AGAGUUUGAUCCUGGCUCAGAAUCAACGCUGGCGGCGUGCCUAACACAUGCAAGUCGAGCGAGAAAAGGGGGGCAACUCCCUGAGUACAGCGGCGCACGGGUGAGUAACACGUGGAUAACCUGCCUCGAAGUGGGGAAUAACCCCGGGAAACCGGAGCUAAUACCGCAUAUUCUGACGAGGUCUGCGGAUUUUGUCAGGAAAGGAGCAAUUCGCUUUGAGAGGGGUCCGCGGCUGAUUAGCUAGUUGGUGAGGUAAUGGCUCACCAAGGCCACGAUCAGUAGCCGGUCUGAGAGGACGGUCGGCCACACUGGAACUGAGACACGGUCCAGACUCCUACGGGAGGCAGCAGUGGGGAAUUUUUCGCAAUGGGGGCAACCCUGACGAAGCAACGCCGCGUGGAUGAUGAAGUAUUUCGGUACGUAAAAUCCUUUCGACGGGGACGAAACCGCAAGGUUGACGGUACCCGUAGAAGAAGCCCCGGCUAACUCCGUGCCAGCAGCCGCGGUAAUACGGGGGGGGCAAGCGUUGUUCGGAAUUACUGGGCGUAAAGGGCGCGUAGGCGGUUUGCUAAGUUGAAUGUG
rnacentral:rRNA from 1 species